GCUGCCGUAGCUCAGCCGGUAGAGCACGUCCUUGGUAAGGACGAGGUCACGGGUUCAAGUCCCGUCGGCAGCUCCA
rnacentral:tRNA from 1 species